UGAAAAUUAGUUAAAUCCUUAUAACAUAAGGGUGUCAACCUUAAAUUAUUAUUAACAUAAUAUUUUCUA
rnacentral:tRNA from 1 species